CUUGCUCUUAUGAAGUUAGCGGCGGACGGGUGAGUAACACGUGGGUAACCUGCCCAUAAGACUGGGAUAACUCCGGGAAACCGGGGCUAAUACCGGAUAACAUUUUGAACCGCAUGGUUCGAAAUUGAAAGGCGGCUUCGGCUGUCACUUAUGGAUGGACCCGCGUCGCAUUAGCUAGUUGGUGAGGUAACGGCUCACCAAGGCAACGAUGCGUAGCCGACCUGAGAGGGUGAUCGGCCACACUGGGACUGAGACACGGCCCAGACUCCUACGGGAGGCAGCAGUAGGGAAUCUUCCGCAAUGGACGAAAGUCUGACGGAGCAACGCCGCGUGAGUGAUGAAGGCUUUCGGGUCGUAAAACUCUGUUGUUAGGGAAGAACAAGUGCUAGUUGAAUAAGCUGGCACCUUGACGGUACCUAACCAGAAAGCCACGGCUAACUACGUGCCAGCAGCCGCGGUAAUACGUAGGUGGCAAGCGUUAUCCGGAAUUAUUGGGCGUAAAGCGCGCGCAGGUGGUUUCUUAAGUCUGAUGUGAAAGCCCACGGCUCAACCGUGGAGGGUCAUUGGAAACUGGGGAGACUUGAGUGCAGAAGAGGAAAGUGGAAUUCCAUGUGUAGCGGUGAAAUGCGUAGAGAUAUGGAGGAACACCAGUGGCGAACGCGACUUUCUGGUCUGUAACUGACACUGAGGCGCGAAAGCGUGGGGGAGCAAACAAGGAUUA
rnacentral:rRNA from 1 species